rnacentral:lncRNA from 1 species
GUUUUAAUGCAUUAUGCCAAAGUAUAUUUUCACCAGUAUAAAAAGAUCUUCAUGACUCACCAAUUUACAACCAGACCUUUCAUGAUCCAGAACCCAGACAAUGAGUUUUUGAAAGCAACUCAAAUGCAAAGUCAAGAGACUGCCCUUGAACAACUUUGGAAGGUACUAUACCAAGUUCUUCUUACCAACCAUACAGCAAUAAAACUUCACGGCUUGGAUCCACUCCUUUCAGCCCAGGAGAGCCCCUCCAGACUCUUGGGACUGUACACUCACCAGAGAUCUCAACAAAAGGCA